GGAACGAACGCUGGCGGCAGGCUUAACACAUGCAAGUCGAACGGUUGUAGCAAUACAGCAGUGGCAGACGGGUGAGUAACACGUGGGAACCUUCCUAGGGGUACGGAACAACUCAGGGAAACUUGAGCUAAGUACCGUAUACGUCCGUAAGGAGAAAGAUUCAUCGCCCCUAGACGGGCCCGCGUAGGAUUAGGUAGUUGGUGAGGUAACGGCUCACCAAGCCUACGAUCCUUAGCUGAUCGUGAGAGGAUGAUCAGCCACACUGGGACUGAGACACGGCCCAGACUCCUACGGGAGGCCAGCAGUGGGGAAUCGUUGGACAAGUGGGCGCAAGCCUGAUCCAGCCAUGCCGCGUGAGUGAAGAA
rnacentral:rRNA from 1 species